CAGUAAAUAAACAUUUUUUAAAUAUAAAUCCUGGGUUUAGUGAAUAAUUGAAUAUACCCCUUUUUCUUACAGAACGGUUUACACAGUAUGGCCCUAAAAACCUUAGACAAGCAUGGAAUAAGCUGAGCUGUGUGAACCAUGCAGAAGAUCUAGCUUCCAAACUACUCCAGUGUUUCCCAAAGAACAGAUUGUCAGCACAGGCAGCUCUGAGCCACGAGUACUUCAGUGAUCUGCCCCCACGGCUAUGGGAGUUAACUGAUAUGUCUUCUAUUUUUACUGUACCGAAUGUAAGAUUACAGCCAGAGACUGGAGAAAGCAUGAGAGCCUUUGGAAAAAACAAUAGUUAUGGCAAAAGUGUAUCAAACAGCAAGCAUUGAAGAAUACCUAUGUUCACAACUGAUAAUGCAGUUUUGCAAUCUUUGCCAGGGUCAGCAAUUUUUGAAGUGAUCCCCAUGAACAGAAAGACUUCAGAACUUUUCAGAGGAAACUUGAAGGUCACAGAAUCCUGCUGGUUCAGAUAUUUGGGAUGCUUUAGUCUGAAUCACACCAUUCGGUUUCUUUCAGCAGCUCAUACUUCAUAACAGUACAGUUUGCAAACAGGAUGCUUUCUCCUUUUUUAUUCUUCGCACCUACAUUUCUUAUUUUCUACUGCUGAAAGUGAUUACCAGUAAUUGUAAAAUUGUGGUAACAAUUUUGAAACAGCAUAAAAUUGUUACAGUGUCAUUGGUGAUUUGACUUUGUAGAAAGAUGUAGUUUGAUAAACCCUUGUUGCCUCCAUACCUCUGCUAGCUUUCAGCUUGCACAAGAUUGCUAGAAAUAGGAGACAUUGUUUAGUGUCUUGGUCAUCUCGUUUUGUUGCAUAUUUCAGCCAGAAUAAAUUCUCUAUUGCCCUACCCA
rnacentral:lncRNA from 1 species